rnacentral:rRNA from 1 species
UACAGAGGUCUCAAGCGUUGUCCGGAAUUAUUGGGCGUAAAGCGCGCGCAGGCGGUCCUUUAAGUCUGAUGUGAAAGCCCACGGCUCAACCGUGGAGGGUCAUUGGAAACUGGGGGACUUGAGUACAGAAGAGAAGAGUGGAAUUCCACGUGUAGCGGUGAAAUGCGUAGAGAUGUGGAGGAACACCAGUGGCGAAGGCGACUCUUUGGUCUGUAACUGACGCUGAGGCGCGAAAGCGUGGGGAGCAAACAGG